rnacentral:rRNA from 1 species
GAUGAACGCUAGCGGCAGGCUUAACACAUGCAAGUCGAGGGGUAUAGUUCUUCGGAAUUAGAGACCGGCGCACGGGUGCGUAACGCGUAUGCAAUCUACCUUUCACAAAGGGAUAGCCCCAGAGAAAUUUGGAUUAAUACCUUAUAGUAAUACGACUUGGCAUCAAGAUGUAUUUAAAGAUUUAUCGGUGAAAGAUGAGCAUGCGUCCAUUAGCUUGUUGGUAAGGUAACGGCUUACCAAGGCACGAUGGGGUAGGGUACCGUGAGAGGGAGAUCCCCACACUGGUACUGAGACACGGACCAGACUCCUACGGGAGGCAGCAGUGA